CAAGUCGAACGUGAAGCCAGAGCUUGCUCUGGUGGAAAGUGGCGGACGGGUGAGUAACGCGUGGGAAUUUACCCAGUGGUUCGGAAUAACGCAGGGAAACUUGUGCUAAUACCGGAUACGCCCUCCGGGGGAAAGAUUUAUCGCCAUUGGAUGAGCCCGCGUCGGAUUAGCUUGUUGGUGAGGUAAUGGCUCACCAAGGCGACGAUCCGUAGCUGGUCUGAGAGGAUGAUCAGCCACACUGGGACUGAGACACGGCCCAGACCCCUACGGGAGGCAGCAGUGGGGAAUAUUGCGCAAUGGAGGAAACUCUGACGCAGCCAUGCCGCGUGAGUGAAGAAGGCCUUAGGGUUGUAAAACUCUUUCAGUGGUGAAGAUAAUGACGGUAGCCACAGAAGAAGCCCCGGCCAACUCCGUGCCAGCAGCCGCGGUAAUACGGAGGGGGCUAGCGUUGUUCGGAAUUACUGGGCGUAAAGCGCGCGUAGGCGGGCUGGUAAGUUGGGGGUGAAAUCCCAGGGCUCAACCCUGGAACUGCCCUCAAUACUGCCAGUCUUGAGUUCGAGAGAGGUAAGUGGAAUUCCUAGUGUAGAGGUGAAAUUCGUAGAUAUUAGGAAGAACA
rnacentral:rRNA from 1 species